rnacentral:lncRNA from 1 species
UUACAUGCACAUACAAUUUUUAUUACGUCCAAUGCUGUGGAUGGGCCCGGUGCUGUUUGUAUGCUAAUUCCGCUCUCCUGGGAGGGGUUGUGGACAAGGAGUGAGUCAAACUCAAGUGACUUCUUGUGAGCCAAUUCCCGAAUGAAUAAAGGAGCCAAUCACUGGGACAGAAACAGCAUCAUCCUGAGGAAGGGAGAACACUGACAAGCGUGUACUGUGCACUUAAGGAGAAGAGGGCCCCACACUGAACCAGUGGCUGUCUCGUUUCUCCCACUCCAAAGUGAGCUGACAGAAUAGCCUGCACAAGAACAUGCUGUCUCCUCCUGGAGCUAGGAAGUCAGAAGAUGGGAUGCUGAUGAUUGCAGCAGAGCUGCAGCAGAAAGGGGUGUAGAAUACCAACCUGCAGUUCUCCCAGGACCACACUCCCUCAAAGCAGCAUCACAGCCCGGUGGGAAGACCUGUUCUGAAUCCAGAGCUGUGGAGACACUUCAAAUUUCCGCUACAAAAUGAGCAUUGACUGGUGGGCCACUGAGUGGGGAAGGCAGAGAAUUUGCCACACCUUCAUGCACAUGGCCAACCCUGCUGACUUCUCACUCCAGAAGCCUCCAGGAAAGCUGAGACCAAACUCCUCCAGAGACAUACAUGGGGUCUGCCACCCUUCUCAAGCACCUACUCAGUCCCACCAUGAGCCACACCAGUCUUUAUCUCCAGCAGGACAUACUCAGGCCCACCUCGACAACAUGAUGAAAGAUGAGUCUACCCAAGAACCAAGGAGCCCAGGUCAGAACUGUGUGAGUGUGGUGAUCACAAGAUGAGCAGCAACUUCCAAUUCCUUCUUGUCUUUUAAUGCCUAUGAAAAGGUGAAAAGAAAAGAUGGCUAGAUUUGCAAGCAAAGACUAUGGGAAAUCUACAGCAGGAAGGCUACAGCUUUGGAGGUCUCAUUGCAAGGGAUGGUGGGAAAACUACAGGCUGCCUCUCUGUCUACAGUGCCUGGACUCACUUUGCCAGGAGUGUACCAAAGCCCAAGGCUCACUGAAGCCUCUACAACGAGUCUGAAACCUUCCUGGAAUGGACACAGGAAAUAGUUAGGCCUCCUGCUGAACAGCAGAUGGUCCUGCUGAGGAGCCCAGGAACCAAACUGAUUUCUUUUGGGAAGUGAGGUCCUUCCCUGGAGUCUUUUCCCAUCAUCUUCUUGUUUGCAGAUUCCUAUACAACAUAUUGUUUGCUCCAGAGGUCAAAUGCCUUCCCAGAUAACAAGAUCUGCUGGCGUGGGAGACCUGGGCACUUAUGAAAAUUGUGAACAAGCUGAUAGUACCUGAUCUACGCAAAAGUA